rfam:Scleropages formosus scaffold4335, whole genome shotgun sequence.
GUCGGAUAUGGCGACAUGGUCCCCACCACCAUUGGGGGUAAGAUUGUAGGAUCAUUGUGUGCCAUAGCUGGUGUGUUGACAAUUGCCCUGCCAGUGCCUGUUAUCGUGUCCAAC